ACCAUCUAUACCGUUCGAUCUGGAAUCUAAUGUUGGGAUUGUGCCGAACUGACAUCCAAAACAGGACAUCGAUAUUCUGGAGGUUUCUCUCGCUAAAUAGAUUCUUCGAGAACCGGUCCAAAUUUCCUCCCUGUCGGCCCCUACCUCCUCUUUCCCGGCGACCAAGCCGGAGUUGGGUUGGGCGAGGGUCACGUCUCCUGCAUAGCUGCUGUAGUUGUAGAUAAUUAAGGUUGUAAAGAUCGGAUUUGGAUUGAGCUUGCCCUGGCGUCUAUCCUUCCAGAUCUGGCCGUGCAGGCCGUCGGAGAGGGAGACAUGGCGGCGGUUGCUGCCUUGUCCAAGUUUCUCACUCUCUCGUCUUGCCAGUCCCCAUGAAAAGUAUUACCCGAUGAGCCCAUCUCCCGCACAAUCGAGCGCGAUCUUUUCUUCUUCUCUAUCCCGCACCAUCCCACCGGGAAAGAUGGCCGCGCCGUCCAGGCCGGCGCCCACGGCCACCCAGCAGGAGGUCCGGGCUGCCUUUGCCAAGGCGUUGAGCUGCUGGCGUGGCGUGCCCAAUGCCGAUGCCAGUGUGUGAGCCCGCAUCCGCUCCACUGGCCGUGUCCCUCGCGCGCUGACGGACAGCAGCAGCGUCCACGGCAGAAGAGGAGUACUCCGGUGUUUAUUCGCGUUGUCUUCCCCGACGACGAUUGCCACGGCGCUGCUGUCAUGUUCUACCUCCACACUUCCCCGCUGUGAUUCCAUCAGAUUGUGCGUAUGUGGAGAAGCAUGUCUGAUUGCCCUCAGUUUCAGAACCAUAUUCCACAACAAGCUAUUCUCCUUGGCAACCGACCUGGAAGUGAAGUCACAGUUGACACCUAUUGUCGUCCAGCAGCUGAUACUUGAACUCUCUGUGCCACAAAAUUAUGUCUGCAAUCUGAUCAGCUUGUGGCGUGGUGUGUUCAUGGGAUAGAGAAUAUGAGAUGCAACUCUCCAAUAUUUUCACUUCUUCAGUCCAAUUUUCCUGGCCACAACCUGAAUAUUUGCUUCUUUGCUGUCUGUUAUCAGUAUUUUUCUAUGCAGAAACCUGGUUAAGGAACUUACAAGUAGUCCAGUACUAAUAUUUUCAUAUGUAUGUACUUGUGCACUAACCCCUUCAUACGAUUCAAAAGCAUCUUUUGCUUUACAUUUUGUUUAUUUGCUCCGCACAAAAUGUACUGCAAGUGUAUUUCAUAGUUUUUUCCUUGGCCUAAAUAUACUACAAACCCUCUACAGGCUCCUUGUUUUUUCCUUUAUCUAAAUACACUAGAGACCGUUUAUAUAUAAGCAAUACUGAUUGCCUGAUGUUAUUUUAGGUGAGAAGAUAGAUGAAGCUGGAGCUCAAGAGCUAAUAUUGUGGGCACAAAUGUUUUGAGAAAACAACUAAAAGAGGGUAUACCAUGCUUUGCAAAUGGAAAAUGAUUCAAUGUCACAUAGAUAUCUAUGUUGUUCCAAGGAUAGCCGCAAUUCUGUUGCAGUAGUUGUCCUAAGGUUGUACAUGAUUAUAUCUACCAGAGAUCGCUGGUCAUGCUGAUGAUUUGAGAGAUCUGGUGACAGUGCAAUUGUGCAUUUGUCACAGUUCAGAGUUGUCAGCCCUGAUGCUCGCAUGCCUUGCCAUUAACAAAGCCAAUGCUGCAAGGAGGCCAACGCACGACACAUCAUUUUGCAAUAGUAGUCUAUCUUAGUGUCCCCUGACCAUUCUGUGUUUUAUCUUUUGCUUUUCUUGUGCUCCUGUCAGAAAUUUGCAUUAUAUGAAUAAACACCGCCAAUUAUUCAUGCACAUGCAACACUUUCGAACUUGUAUAUACUCUCUUA